GCCAGUGUGGCACAGUGGUUUGAGUGCUGGACUAUGUAUGAUAUUGACCAGGGUUCGAUUCCCUGCUUGAACA